rnacentral:rRNA from 1 species
UACAGAGGUCCCAAGCGUUGUUCGGAUUCAUUGGGCGUAAAGGGUGCGUAGGCUGCGUCAUAAGUCGGAUGUGAAAUCCCGGGGCUCAACCCUGGAACUGCAUUCGAUACUGUGGUGCUAGAGGACUCUAGAGGAAAUUGGAAUUCACGGUGUAGCAGUGAAAUGCGUAGAUAUCGUGAGGAAGACCAGUGGCGAAGGCAGGUCUCUGGGCCACUACUGACGCUGAGAAGCGAAAGCAUGGGGAGCGAACAGG